GCAUUCUAUGUGAUGUCACCACUGUUGUGGCAACACCAACUGUCAUUGGGGCUUUUGUGCAGUGUCUAGUACUUCAACUACAGACAUGCUGACUAGACUGAACAGGAUUCUUGGGAGACAGGAUGGCGAGCACAGGGAGACCAAAGGGAGGCAGAAGGAAGAUGGCCUUCAGUCUCCAUGUCACACAUCAAGAAAUAAAUGGUUCUGGGGAAAGCGCAGUGAGUCCUGGGAAAGGGAUGAGGAGCUUCCUGAAGGAGGAAGGCUUCAGCUGAUGCUUUCAGAAGUGGGGCUCAGAAGGGACUACUAUGAAGGCAUCAUCCACACCCUUCUUCCUCACUGAGCAGGAUCAGCAGCUGAACCAGGUAGAAAAACUGACUCUUCAGCUACAGAUUAUGACCAAUGAGAGGAAUGAACUGCUUGAAUUCCUGGCCCUUUAUAACAACAAUGAGUUGAACAACAGCACCCUCUACAGUCAGUUACUAAGGGAAUGGACUCAGCUGAAGGAAAAUGAGCAUGUUGAACGAGGACAACAGAAAGCUGCAGGGGAAGCAGAUUUUACUACAAGAGUCCUGCAAGGAGGCAAAGAGGCUCUGUGAGGAGGCCCAUGGGAAGAUAUAUGACCUCUGGACAAAGCAGCAGCAGGAUCAUCAAAGACUUGAGGAAAAUCUUCAGUCCCUGCUGAAGCAGAAGCUGCUUACCCGGCAAAGGGACUUGGCAGUAAAGCUGCAGCAUCAUUUCACUGUGUCCCAGAUGAGGUAGGAAUCUAGGAUUCCAGAAGCAGAUGGGUCCAAGUGAGUCAGCUGUACAUGGAUAUCUGUUCUCUUUGAAUUUCUGUUCAAUUGGCAAAGCUUCCAGCCACAGCCAAGAAGAGAACACCUCAGGGUGUCAUUCAUUGCUGGCUCAGUCAAUAGGAACUUAUGUCCAGGAAGCAAUAUGCUUUCUCCUUGGUCUUAUGGAGAUUGUGUCCUCUUCUUCCAUUCUGAGUCCUCUAGUAUGAUUUGAGUAUCUCAUCUCUUAGAUUAGAUCUCCCCACAAAUAUUCCCAUAGUAGCCAGAAACCUAGAGGGGAUCAUCAACCAUGAAGGAAAGUGUGUCCUCCUUCAACUUUAUUUUCCAUCAUGAAUGUUAUGUUUAGGGAUAAGUGUCUACCCUUUGGCAGAUUUGC